rnacentral:lncRNA from 1 species
UGUGCUGUGCUUCUCGUUAACCUCCUGCAAAUCUAAUAUAAUGGAGACACAGAACAUAAUAGUAGAUGCUGAGUUGGAGUGAGAUCCAAGGUUUUGGAGCUGAGGAAGUUGAAGCCAUUGAAAAACGGCUUGUAAUACUUGGCAUGUAUGCUUGAGACAUGCUUGUUCACCAUGGUGCCAAUUUAAAAGUCAUAGCUAAUUGCAUGCAUUUAUAA